rnacentral:rRNA from 1 species
CCUACGGGGGGCAGCAGUAGGGAAUCUUCCGCAAUGGACGAAAGUCUGACGGAGCAACGCCGCGUGAGCGAAGAAGGCCUUCGGGUCGUAAAGCUCUGUUGUUAGGGAAGAACAAGUACCGGAGUAACUGCCGGUACCGUGACGGUACCUAACCAGAAAGCCACGGCUAACUACGUGCCAGCAGCCGCGGUAAUACGUAGGUGGCAAGCGUUGUCCGGAAUUAUUGGGCGUAAAGCGCGCGCAGGCGGUUCCUUAAGUCUGAUGUGAAAGCCCACGGCUCAACCGUGGAGGGUCAUUGGAAACUGGGGAACUUGAGUGCAGAAGAGGAGAGCGGAAUUCCACGUGUAGCGGUGAAAUGCGUAGAGAUGUGGAGGAACACCAGUGGCGAAGGCGGCUCUCUGGUCUGUAACUGACGCUGAGGCGCGAAAGCGUGGGGAGCAAACAGGAUUAGAUACCCUUGUAGUC